rnacentral:lncRNA from 1 species
GUUUAUGGGUAUAAAUGUGUGUUCUUGAACAAUGUGGAUGCUUGAUGUGUUGUAGAUGGGGUUUAUGAUGGUUUGAGACCCCUAGGAACAUGUAUGCUUGUGUAUGAGUGUUGUAGAAUAGGUUUGAUGCAUGUUUGAUAAGUUUGGAGGCGAAAUGUGCAUUGGGAGCCAAGUUUCUGCCCUUUGGCAGAAACCAGGUUCGGCAACCGAAGGACUUUCGGCCGCCGAACAUGGCUGGGGAAGCAGCCUUUCGGCUGCCGAAGCUUGCCCCCGAAAGGAGACUUUCGUCUCUGUCUGGCAGUUUCGGCCGCCGAAAGUGCCGCCGAACAUGCAUGAGUUUCGUCUCUGUUUGGGAGUUUCGGCCGCCGAAGGUGCCGCCGAACCUGCCUAACUUUCGGCUCUGGAGGGACUUUCGGCCGCCGAACCUGCCGCCGAAAGUGCCCUGUCCAGGCCUCCUUUGCAUGAUUUUGAAUGAUUGUUUCAUGACGUUUUAGGGGGUUUUUGGGGAGUAGUUUAUUGUUAUGUUUAGGUAUGUUUGGUCCCUCAUUUGAGUCCACCUGUGUAGGUUCGGACUCGAGGAACCGAGGACCCCAGCAGUGAGUUCAGCUGCUUCGGUGUUGUCAGAAUCAGCCAGAGGUGAGUGGAACCAAACUUAAUCUUUUAAAUUAAAUGUUUUAUCAUGUUUCAUGCAUCAUGAUUAUGCAAUAGGAUGAUUGCAUUAGUGUUCACGAAUAUGCUGCAUUGCAUUGAUUGUUGUUGAUGUGGGUGAAUGUUGGAUGACCCAAUUAGUCCAAGACAGGAAGACCAGGACCCCAUUCUACGGCCUGGCACAGAGUAAGGAAAGACCAGGACCCCAUUCUACGGCCUGGCACGAUUGUGGAACUUGAAGACCAGGAGCCCAGAGGAGGCCCUGGGAUAAUGGUAAGUAAUGUAUGUAUGACAGGAAGACCAGGACCCCAUGCUACGGCCUGGCACAGAGUUAACUUGGACUAAUUGGUGACAAGUUCACCCAACCCUUAUGUGAAUUGUCUGUGUUAUGAUGCAUUUCAUCAGAGCAUAGUGUUAUUAUGUUUUACGGUUCUACUCACUGGGCUUUUAGCUCACCCCUCUCCCUUUUACCCCCAGGCUUGCAGGUACAGGAUAGAAGAGGAGGUCGGUUAGAGUAAAGCUUAUUGUGUAAUAGAUAGAAUGUGGACAUGACAAAUCGUAGUACGAUGUAAUGUAAAAGUACAGUAUAGUUAUGUAAUGAUGUUUAUGGAUGUUAGAGGUGUGCUUGACCAUAGAUUGUUGUAUCCCUUUUAAUACAUGAUCUUAGAGAUUUUUUUUAUGAUGUUUAUGUAAACCAACUCAGCAUAUGUUAUGUCACCCAUCGGGGGCACUGAUGAGAUCCCACAGAGGGAUCAAUGUUAUGUUAAUGUUUAUGCAGGUUGAGUUUGGUUGAUGUAUAUGGAAAGAAAAGUUUUAAUUUUUAUGUAUGUUGUUGAUCAUGUAUGGGAUUAUACAGGUUUACAGGUUUCAUGUCAGGCUUGCUACGGGUCCCGGCGGCCUUAAGCCGAUCUGGAUCCUAGCGCCGGUAGCGGUCCGAUUUUCGGGUCGUUACAAUACCCGUCUAGAGUCUGGCAUCGGAAUUCUACUUUCCGGUGGAAUCCAGGAUAUCGAAAUUCUCUAGAAGGGUAAGAUUUAUGUUUUUCUAAAGUAUUUUAGAAUGUUUUAAUGUUUUAAAGUUAAAUGGAACUAAGUUUUUUGAAAGAAAAGCACCAAGGAAGAAAAGCCAAGUUCGGCCGCCGAACAUGCAUGGCUUGUGGUUUCACGUUAGGCCGCCGAAGGUGGUCUGGCCAGCCACCUAUAAAAGGCCCUCAGUUGGUUGAAAGGAUAAGAAUGAGUUUUCUUUUCACUUUCAGAGGUGAGACCAUGCUUUCCUUAGGUAUGCUUCAUGUGUUCAUCAAAUCUUGCAAAGUUUUGAUUGAUUUUAAUGUUAUUUUGAAGGUUUUGAGCUAAAAACUUAAGUUUUGAAAGUUUGGAGAGUUUGAAGGAGAGUUGCUCCAUAUCUCCACGUUAGGAUCGUUCAUCUUCUUGAUUUCAAGAGGUAAGUGAAGAUCCUGAACUUUUUGUUAUGAUUUAUGGAAGUUUUAUGGAGUUUAUGGGUAGAGUUGCAUGAAUAGGGUAAAGAGUGAGUUUUUGAUGUUUUGUUGAUAAAAGCAUGUUUAUGUGUUAUGUUUCUGUUGUUUGUUGGGGUUUUAAGGUAGUUGUUGACCCCUUUGAGCAUAUGCUUGGGUAUAUGCAUGUUGAGGAGUUGAGAUGUUUGAGUUUGGUAAGGAUUGGUGUAGUUUGGCGUGAGGCAGAGCAAGGUUCUGCCUUACUGAUGAACCCAGCUUCGGCCGCCAAAGGAGGGAUCAGCCGCCGAAUGUGCUGAGGAGGUGGCUUCGGUUGCCUAAGCUUGCCCCCGAGAGUUUGGACUUUCGGCCCCCGAACGUGGUCUGGCCAGCCACUAUAAAAGGGUCCCUUAGCCGAAAACGGGCGAGCUUUUCCCCAUUUUCGGCCAAGGUGAGCUCUCCGCCGUCCCUCACCCAUCUUUGACGUUCUUCCUCAAAAUCUUUCAAGAUUUUCACUUGUUUUAACUUGGUUUUGAAGAUUUAAGCUUUUGAGCAAAGUUUUGGAGCUUGGAGGUUCAAGAACCAAAUCUCUCCCAACUCUGAGUUUUUGGUCGUCUCUCUCGAUCUUCAAGAGGUAAGAGCCGAUCUUAAGCUCAUUGCAUGUUUUAAGUAAGUUUUAUGCAAGAUCUUUGGGUUAGAAUGCAUGUUUAGAUUAUGGUUAUGUUUAUGGGUAUAAAUGUGUGUUCUUGAACAAUGUGGAUGCUUGAUGUGUUGUAGAUGGGGUUUAUGAUGGUUUGAGACCCCUAGGAACAUGUAUGCUUGUGUAUGAGUGUUGUAGAAUAGGUUUGAUGCAUGUUUGAUAAGUUUGGAGGCGAAAUGUGCAUUGGGAGCCAAGUUUCUGCCCUUUGGCAGAAACUAGGUUCGGCAGCCGAAGGACUUUCGGCCACCGAACAUGGCUGGGGAAGCAGCCUUUCGGCUGCCGAAGCUUGCCCCCGAAAGGAGACUUUCGUCUCUGUCUGGCAGUUUCGGCCGCCGAAAGUGCCGCCGAACAUGCAUGAGUUUCGUCUCUGUCUGGGAGUUUCGGCCGCCGAAGGUGCCGCUGAACCUGCCUGACUUUCGGCUCUGGAGGGACUUUCGGCCGCCGAACCUGCCGCCGAAAGUGCCCUGU